GGAGGGAUGGCCGAGCGGUUGAAGGCACUGGUCUUGAAAACCAGCAUACGUUCACGCGUAUCGAGGGUUCGAAUCCCUCUCCCUCCG
rnacentral:tRNA from 1 species